GACGAACGCUGGCGGCGUGCUUAACACAUGCAAGUCGAACGGAAAGGCCCUGCUUUUGUGGGGUGGUCGAGUGGCGAACGGGUGAGUAACACGUGAGUAACCUGCCCUUUACUUUGGGAUAACUUCCGGAAACUGGGGCUAAUACUGGAUAUGAGCUCCUGCUGCCUUGUGGGGUGGGGAAAGGUGCGGCGGUGGGGGGUGGACUGGCGGCUUAUCAGCUGGUUGGUGGGGUAGUGGUUUACCAAGGCUUUGACGGGUAGCCGGCCUGCGAGGGUGACCGGCCACAUUGGGACUGAGAUACGGCGCGGAGUACUACGGGAGGCAGUAGUGGGGAAUAUGGCAGAAUGGGGGGGAGCCUGAGGGAGCAACGCGGAGUGCGGGAGGACGGGAUUCGGGUUGUAAAACGCUUUCGCCUGUGACGAAGCGGGAGUGACGGUAAUGGGUAAAGAAGCACCGGCUAACUACGUG
rnacentral:rRNA from 1 species